rnacentral:rRNA from 1 species
AGAGUUUGAUCAUGGCUCAGGACGAACGCUGGCGGCGUGCUUAACACAUGCAAGUCGAACGGUAAGGCCCUUCGGGGUACACGAGUGGCGAACGGGUGAGUAACACGUGGGUAAUCUGCCCUGCACAUCGGGAUAAGCCUGGGAAACUGGGUCUAAUACCGAAUAGGACUGCGCUCUUCAUGGGGUGUGGUGGAAAGCUUUUGCGGUGUGGGAUGGGCCCGCGGCCUAUCAGCUUGUUGGUGGGGUAAUGGCCUACCAAGGCGACGACGGGUAGCCGGCCUGAGAGGGUGACCGGCCACACUGGGACUGAGAUACGGCCCAGACUCCUACGGGAGGCAGCAGUGGGGAAUAUUGCACAAUGGGCGCAAGCCUGAUGCAGCGACGCCGCGUGAGGGAUGACGGCCUUCGGGUUGUAAACCUCUUUCAACAGGGACGAAGCGCGAGUGACGGUACCUGUAGAAGAAGCACCGGCCAACUACGUGCCAGCAGCCGCGGUAAUACGUAGGGUGCGAGCGUUGUCCGGAAUUACUGGGCGUAAAGAGCUCGUAGGUGGUUUGUCGCGUUGUUCGUGAAAACUCACAGCUUAACUGUGGGCGUGCGGGCGAUACGGGCAGACUGGAGUACUGCAGGGGAGACUGGAAUUCCUGGUGUAGCGGUGGAAUGCGCAGAUAUCAGGAGGAACACCGGUGGCGAAGGCGGGUCUCUGGGCAGUAACUGACGCUGAGGAGCGAAAGCGUGGGGAGCGAACAGGAUUAGAUACCCCGGUAGUCC